CCCUGUACUUUGCUGGACUGCGAUGGGGGGACGGAGAAGGCUAGGUCAGCCGGGUGUUGGUAGUCCCGGUUUAAGCGAGUAGGCAGGGGUUUUAGGCAAAUCCGAAACCUCAAUGCUGAGACGUGAUGACGAGCUCCUUUGGAGCGAAGUGAUUGAUGCCAUGCUUCCAGGAAAAGCCUCUAAGCUUCAGGUUCAGUGAAACCGUACCCCAAACCGACACAGGUGGGCAGGGUGAGAAUCCCAAGGCGCUUGAGAGAACUCGGGUGAAGGAACUCGGCAAAAUAGUACCGUAACUUCGGGAUAAGGUACGCCCGCGUAAGGUGAAGGACCCGCGUCCGGAGCCUGAACGGGCCGCAGUGACCAGGCCGCUGCGACUGUUUACUAAAAACACAGCACUCUGCUAACACGAAAGUGGACGUAUAGGGUGUGACGCCUGCCCGGUGCCGGAAGGUUAAUUGAUGGGGUCAGCCGCAAGGCGAAGCUCUUGAUCGAAGCCCCGGUAAACGGCGGCCGUAACAAUAACGGUCCUAAGGUAGCGAAAUUCCUUGUCGGGUAAGUUCCGACCUGCACGAAUGGCGUAACGAUGGCGGCGCUGUCUCCACCCGAGACUCAGUGAAAUUGAAAUCGCUGUGAAGAUGCAGUGUACCCGCGGCUAGACGGAAAGACCCCGUGAACCUUUACUACAGCUUUACACUGGACUUUGAGUCUUCUUGUGUAGGAUAGGUGGGAGGCUAUGAAGCGCGCACGCCAGUGCACGUGGAGCCAACCUUGAAAUACCACCCUGGAAUACUCGAGGUUCUAACCUCGGCCCGUGAUCCGGGUCAGGGACAGUGUAUGGUGGGUAGUUUGACUGGGGCGGUCUCCUCCCAAAGAGUAACGGAGGAGUGCGAAGGUACCCUCAGCGCGGUCGGAAAUCGCGCACUGAGUGCAAAGGCAUAAGGGUGCUUAACUGCGAGACAGACACGUCGAGCAGGUGCGAAAGCAGGUCUUAGUGAUCCGGUGGUUCUGUAUGGAAGGGCCAUCGCUCAACGGAUAAAAGGUACUCCGGGGAUAACAGGCUGAUUCCGCCCAAGAGUCCAUAUCGACGGCGGAGUUUGGCACCUCGAUGUCGGCUCAUCACAUCCUGGGGCUGUAGCAGGUCCCAAGGGUAUGGCUGUUCGCCAUUUAAAGUGGUACGCGAGCUGGGUUUAGAACGUCGUGAGACAGUUCGGUCCCUAUCUGCCGUGGGCGUUGGACGUUUGAGGGGAGCUUCUCCUAGUACGAGAGGACCGGAGUGGACGUACCUCUGGUGUUCCGGUUGUCAUGCCAAUGGCACUGCCGGGUAGCUAUGUACGGACGGGAUAACCGCUGAAAGCAUCUAAGCGGGAAGCCCACCCCAAGAUGAGACGUCCCGAGUCCCUGAGACUCCUGAAGGUUCGUCGAAGACUACGACGUUGAUAGGCUGGGUGUGGAAGCGCAGUAAUGCGUGUAGCUAACCAGUACUAAUUGACCGUGCGGCUUGACC
rnacentral:rRNA from 1 species